GUUGGUCUUUUUUUUUUGUUUUUUUUUUUUUUUGUUUUGUUUUUCCAGUUUUGGUUCUAACAUGAGAGAAUUCCUCCUUCUGGAAUAUGCCUCAGGACUGUUUGCUCAUCACAGGUAGGAAGGCCCCACAAACAGUACUGACCUUGUGGAUGCCAGGAAGCUUCUGUUCUGCCUUGGUUCUGAGGGAGGGCUCAGACGGGUCAGGAAGACAGCCCGUGUGGCCUCUCAACAUGUACGUUCCUCCCACCUUAGCCUGUGGCAGCUGGGGGUGGAUUACUUUGACUACUGCCCGGAGCUGGGCCGAGUUUCCUUGGAGCUGCACAUUGUAUGCCUCCUAAGUAGUACUGUGUGUUCUGUCCAUGUCCAGUAUCAGUAAGAUGCCAUCUACCAAGUGUUCAGCCUCACUGGAGGGAUGGUUGUCAGACUAGGAGCCGCAGCCCAGGGCUCUGUAUCCAGAUAUUUCUUCCCAAAGACUUUGGACCCAGGCCUAGACGUUAACAGCCUCUUUCCCCUCCCUAGGUGAUUUUUUCAGCAGAGCAGACCUACGAGCUGAUGCGAUGCCUGGAAGACUUGGCCUCCAGAAGGCCAGAGUGUGGUGAGCCCGACGCCCAGCGACUGCAGGAUGACGACAUAGAGACCACCAAGGUGGAGAUGCUGAGACUAGCUCUUGCCCGGAAUCUUGCUCGGGCAAUUAUAAGGGAAGGCUCACUGGAGGGUUCCUGAGAGAAGCUGAGGACAGCUGCAGUGUAGUAACUUUGUAUGGCAAUGUAAAUAGAUUUUAAA
rnacentral:lncRNA from 1 species